UUAGUUACCAGCACGUUAUGGUGGGCGACUCUAAGGAGACUGCCGGUGACAACCGGAGGAAGUGGGGAUGACGUCAAGUCAUCAUGGCCCUUACGGCCUGGGCUACACACGUGCUACAAUGGUCGGUACAAAGGGUUGCCAAGCCGCGAGGUGGAGCUAAUCCCAUAAAACCGAUCGUAGUCCGGAUCGCAGUCUGCAACUCGACUGCGUGAAGUCGGAAUCGCUAGUAAUCGUGAAUCAGAAUGUCACGGUGAAUACGUUCCCGGGCCUU
rnacentral:rRNA from 1 species